GGUUCCCUAUAACAGGGUUUUCUUAAAGCAUUGGUUGCAAUGCUCAUAGUAAAUAUUGCAAAAAGUUUAGAUUUCUAAUUCUAAAACGUUUUUUAACAGCCCUUUUCAAAACUGCAGUUUUUAUUUCUGCCAUAUUUAUUUAUGAGAUUCAUUUAAUUUCCUUAUUUUCAAUCUGAAAAUGAUAAUUUUAUUUCUUGAGGUAGAGUUUUCCUCUUGAAGCUUCUCAGAAUCUUCUCUCAAAAAUUUAGCUUUUGCUGUAUAUCACCGCAUGUUACUUACAGGUGGACCUCCUCAGUCAGAACAAAGCCUGAAUAGAAUAAAAAGCCUGGCCCUCCCUCAAAUAAGAAAUUAUUUCUCUCUGACUUACCCCAAGAUGCAAGUGUUUAAUGUCAUGUGUUGAGACAUCUUGUACUAAGUCCUUCCUCACAAAUGAGGGUGAUGAAGCAACUGAUUAUGGAGGAGAGGCCCCCUUGACAGGAAAGAGGGGUGAUUUCCAGCCAACAGACAUCCAACAACUAAAAGAGGCAUAAGGCUGAAAUUCAUGCAGAGACUGUGGUUCUUAUUUAUGCAGCUCUCAAAGAACUUAAUGCCACCAACCACCACAUGAACUUGCAAGGCGAUCCUUCCCUUAUCUGGUCUUGAAUUGGAAUUGCACUCUUAGUCUCAUGAUGCUGUAAUAAAGGAGUCGGCUCAUGGUUCA